UGGAGGAAAUGUGGGUCCUUUUAGAUGGACCCUCGUUAGUUUGAAAUUGCACAAUAUUGAAUAGGUUCGUAGUUGUUAUUUGUUUUAUGAAUACAUUUGGUGCUCCAUCGCCCAUUAAAAUGUUUUCCAAUCCAAAGCAGAUAGAAAUUAUGCCGUAAUAAAUGUGUCAUAACAAUGCUCUCUCUAGUCGAUUUUAUCUUCA
rnacentral:lncRNA from 1 species